rnacentral:misc_RNA from 1 species
AAGUCGUAACAAGGUUUCCGUAGGUGAACCUGCGGAAGGAUCAUUAACACGUAUCUAACGUUAAAACCCCCGUGAACCUACAGCCCUAUUCUUGUGCGCCCGUUCGGCCAGCAAUCCCUAGUAAAUCAUUGUUGAACAGACUUUGAUUUAUGGACCUCUGUACGGACGGACUGCGGUUUGCGUGCAACUGAGUGGUAGCGCAAGCAUCCUGGUGCAUUUUAGACGGUUAUCGUGUGGAAGUGACGAUAACGUUACCGUGUGUACGAGGUGACUCCUAAACACGUGUGCUAGAGGUCCACACGACCGCAACCGGAACCCAGGCCGAAAGGUCCCUAACCACCCCUCGCAAGAAUUUAGCGUGCACCUAACGGUUGUACGCACCCCCAAACUGAACAACUGUUAACAAUGGAUAUCUUGGUUCUC